CUCAAGUGGAAGCAAGUGCAGACCUCAGGCCCUGCAGCAGGAAGCUCUGGGCUACACCUUGUCCCCCCAUUGGAUGUCCUGGGUUACACCUCAUGCUGCAGACACAGCAGCUGGUGGCUCUGCCAGGCUGGGCCACACACUGAGUCCUGGAGCCACCCCAGAUGGAGUUUCGCUCUUAUUGCCUAGGCUGGAGUACAAUGGUGUGGUCUCGACUCACUGCAAACUCCGCCUCCUGGGUUCAAGCGAUUCUCCUGCCUCAGCCUCCUGAAUAGCUGGGAUUACAGGUGCGUGCCACCACACCCAGGUAAUUUUUGUAUUUUUGGGGUUUCACCACAUUGGCCAGGCUAGUCUUGAACUCCUGACCUCAGGUGAUGCACCCACCUUGGCCUCCCAAAGUGCUGGGAUUACAGGUGUGAGCCACCAUGCCUGGCCAACAUAACAUUUUUUUAAAUGUAUCUUCCACCUCAGCCUCCCAAGUAGUUGACACUAUAGGUGCACACCACCACACCCAGCUCAUCAUCUUUUUUUUUUUUUUUUAGAUUUUUUUUUUGUUGUUAGCAACAGG
rnacentral:lncRNA from 10 species